rnacentral:rRNA from 1 species
UACGUAGGGCGCAAGCGUUAUCCGGAAUUAUUGGGCGUAAAGAGCUCGUAGGCGGUUUGUCGCGUCUGCCGUGAAAGUCCGGGGCUCAACUCCGGAUCUGCGGUGGGUACGGGCAGACUAGAGUGAUGUAGGGGAGAUCGGAAUUCCUGGUGUAGCGGUGAAAUGCGCAGAUAUCAGGAGGAACACCGGUGGCGAAGGCGGAUCUCUGGGCCGUAACUGACGCUGAGGAGCGAAGGCGUGGGGAGCGAACAGG